UACAACACAAAUGAAUGGGCCAUUUUAUUGAUUUUUACCUCCUAAUAGUGGAUACAGGUUGCCGUGGUUUCCAGCAGGAUCUCAGAUGCAAAGGGAAGUGAAGAAAACAGAUGAAUCCCUAGGGUACCCCGCCAUGGAACCAAACACCACAUCAACUGGAACUCUUCUUGCAAACGAAGGCUGAAGAUCAAGAAUGACAUUCUCACACCACAGCACAGCUUAAAUACUUCUUUGACAAAAAUAAUAAUAAAUUAUAUUUGACUCAGAAAAUAAAUUCUGUUCAGCAGAGUGACAGGAGGGUCCAUUCAUUGCAUUGCACGAGGGGCUCUACGGAGGGGUGAGGAUGGGUGCAGGAUGCCACAGUGACAAGGGACAUGGGGUGCGGGCCCAGCAGCACAGGCUGAAGUUAGCUGACGCAUGCUUUUGGCUUUUAUCCCACGGGCGGGUAGUGGCCGGACCCCUGGCUGUGGCCUGUCCCAAGUGAGACUGCAACUGUCCCCUUCCUCCUCACGUCCGCCUUGUCUUCUGUUUCUUGGCUUGUCUCUUUGCAUCUUCUGGGCCGCUAUUGUCAGAGGCUGCCUGGCCGAGCGCGCCGACUCCCUGUAGCCGGCUUGUCAACUGCAGCAGCAAAGGAAUGAGCUAGAAAAGAGAGAAAGUGUGAGAGAGAGGGGUACAAAGAGGAGGCUUUUGCCAGAUGAACAGCGGAGCCUCACUUCUCAACACACCUUCUUCAGACAUGAUCAGCAGCUGCCACGUGCUAAUGGGUGGGUUUCAGUUCAAACGAGGCAGGCCUCUUACUAAUGAGUCCCCAGGGAUGGGCUGGCCUCUCUCCGGGCCUAAUAUGUCCCUAGAGGUGUUCCAGGUUUAAGGAUUAGGAGAUGUUACAGAAGUUUACAGCCUUGAAAGGAGACCUAAGUCUGGACUUGAGGCCUUCACGGGCCCUCCCGACCGGGAAAUGUGAUUUCUGUGACCCUGGACAUCCCUCUGCUAUCACUCCUGCAGCUGUGAGGACUCGCUCUCCCUGACAUGCCCGCCAUCUCCUGAGGCCUCUGGAUUUCCUACCUUGUCAUGGUUGUAACCGGCCAGCAGAACCAGCAGCGUCAAUGGCAGGGCAAUGUAGGAUCCUUGUGCGAUGUCCUGUUCAGGCAGCUUCCUCUGCAAACACCGAGAGCCCCAUCACUCCUCACCAAGGCCACAAGCUUGUCCAUCAUCCACAAUGCCACAGCCACCACCCACCCAGCCUUCCAAAGUGGCCACUUGAGGACACCCAGGGGCCCUCAUGAUCCAAAUUCCUUCUAUCCAAAGGAAGGAACCAAAGUGAUUUGGAUGUAUUUUCCCAUGAAUCCUCUUCUGCCCAAAGCUUCACUAUUUGCUUCUGAAACUCAGGGACAAAGAGAUUCCAAUGACAAGGCAUUCCUCAGCCUCUGGACCCUCCUCCCAACUGAGGAAAUGAAGAGAUGCAGCUAUCAGAGAGUCUUGGUGGUUGAAAAGCAACUGGGUCUCAGUUUGUUGAGUCCCAGCAACAUGCAGGGACUUAGUCCUACAAGGAUGUAUCAAGAACCUACAGUUCUAGACCCAGGGCACACAGUGAUGGGCAGCUAUUCCCAGCCAGUACGGUCUAGUGAGGAAGCAAAGCAGGCACUGCUACUAGCAUCCCUGUGGCCAUUCUCCCUUUCUCCCAAUAGAACCCCCAACUUUUAUCUGGGCCACCGACAAUAUAGAUCACCUUUUCCAGCCUUCCCUGCAGCAGGCGCAGCCCUGGAACUAAAUUUUGGCCAAUGGUACAGGAACAGAAGCGGUAAGUGCCACACCCUGGCUGGACCCUAGGGAAGUGGUGUGCCCUCCCUUUUGCUGGGCCACAGCUAUUUUCAGCCAAUAGUAAGAUGUGAUGUGCCUUUUCCGCCCUCUUUCAUUCGCAAGCACACAGUGGACUUUUCCAGAGACUACGCACCCUGAUGUCAUCACGCCCACAGCUAACGGAAUGUGUAGCUUGUGAGUUCUUGCGUUUUCAACAUCUCGGUUUUAAUUACUAAUAUGAUAAAUAUACACAGAGAUAAUCCAUGCAAACUCAAACUCUUUAAAAUCCUCAAUAAUUUUUAACAGUAUAAAGGGGUCCUGCAACCAACCCAUCCGAGAACUGCUGGGCUAGAGAGUGACUGUGGGGGCCGCUGUACCUGGGAUGCCCUUUCAUAAAUGAAAGAAUAAGGGCAGGAACAGAUUUCCAUCAACAACUGCCUACUCCUGUAUCUCUGGACAUCUCUUAGAACCCAACCCAUUU
rnacentral:lncRNA from 1 species